AGGUUUCCGUAGGUGAACCUGCGGAAGGAUCAUUGUCGUGGCCCUGACCAAAACAGACCGUGCCCCCGUUAUCCAGCCUUCCGGGGGCGGCCCCGUUCGUCGCUCGGCCNAAGUCCCUGAUCACCUCCUCUUCUGGAGUGAGGGGSGCCUCAAAAGAACCCACGACGCCUAAGGCGUCAAGGAACACUGUGCCUAGCGAGGGGACGCGGACGGCUUGCUGGCCGCCCCCCGUGCUGCAAUGCUAUGUUAA
rnacentral:misc_RNA from 1 species